rnacentral:rRNA from 1 species
CCUACGGGUGGCAGCAGUGGGGAAUAUUGGACAAUGGGCGAAAGCCUGAUCCAGCCAUGCCGCGUGUGUGAAGAAGGCCUUCGGGUUGUAAAGCACUUUCAGUGGGGAAGAAAGCCUUGGGGCUAAUACCCUCGAGGAAGGACAUCACCCACAGAAGAAGCACCGGCUAACUCCGUGCCAGCAGCCGCGGUAAUACGGAGGGUGCGAGCGUUAAUCGGAAUUACUGGGCGUGAAGCGCGCGUAGGCGGUCUGAUAAGCCGGUUGUGAAAGCCCCGGGCUCAACCUGGGAACGGCAUCCGGAACUGUCAGGCUAGAGUGCAGGAGAGGAAGGUAGAAUUCCCGGUGUAGCGGUGAAAUGCGUAGAGAUCGGGAGGAAUACCAGUGGCGAAGGCGGCCUUCUGGACUGACACUGACGCUGAGGUGCGAAAGCGUGGGUAGCAAACAGGAUUAGAUCCCCAGUAGUC